rnacentral:rRNA from 1 species
AGCGAACGCUGGCGGCAGGCCUAACACAUGCGAGUCGAACGAACCUUUCGGGGUUAGUGGCGGACGGGUGAGUAACACGUGGGAACGUGCCUUUAGGUUCGGAAUAACUCAGGGAAACUUGUGCUAAUACCGAAUGUGCCCUUCGGGGGAAAGAUUAAUCGCCUUUAGAGCGGCCCGCGUCUGAUUAGCUAGUUGGUUGAGGUAAUGGCUCACCAAGGCGACGAUCAGUAGCUGGUCUGAGAGGAUGAUCAGCCACAUUGGGACUGAGACACGGCCCAAACUCCUACGGGAGGCAGCAGUGGAGAAUCUUGCGCAAUGGGCGAAAGCCUGACGCAGCCAUGCCGCGUGAAUGAUGAAGGUCUUAGGAUUGUAAAAUUCUUUCACCGGGGACGAUAAUGACGGUACCCGGAGAAGAAGCCCCGGCUAACUUCGUG